GAUGAACGCUGGCGGCGUGCCUAAUACAUGCAAGUCGAGCGAACAGACGAGGAGCUUGCUCCUCUGACGUUAGCGGCGGACGGGUGAGUAACACGUGGAUAACCUACCUAUAAGACUGGGAUAACUUCGGGAAACCGGAGCUAAUACCGGAUAAUAUAUUGAACCGCAUGGUUCAAUAGUGAAAGACGGUUUUGCUGUCACUUAUAGAUGGAUCCGCACCGCAUUAGCUAGUUGGUAAGGUAACGGCUUACCAAGGCAACGAUGCGUAGCCGACCUGAGAGGGAGAUCGGCCACACUGGAACUGAGACACGGUCCAGACUCCUACGGGAGGCAGCAGUAGGGAAUCUUCCGCAAUGGGCGAAAGCCUGACGGAGCAACGCCGCGUGAGUGAUGAAGGUCUUCGGAUCGUAAAACUCUGUUAUUAGGGAAGAACAAAUGUGUAAGUAACUAUGCACGCCUUGACGGUACCUAAUCAGAAAGCCACGGCUAACUACGUG
rnacentral:rRNA from 1 species